rnacentral:rRNA from 1 species
UACGUAGGGCGCAAGCGUUGUCCGGAAUUAUUGGGCGUAAAGAGCUCGUAGGCGGCUUGUCACGUCGGGUGUGAAAGCCCGGGGCUUAACCCCGGGCGUGCAGUGGAUACGGGCAGGCUGGAGGCAGGCAGGGGAGAACGGAAUUCCCGGUGUAGCGGUGAAAUGCGCAGAUAUCGGGAGGAACACCGGUGGCGAAGGCGGUUCUCUGGGCCUGUACUGACGCUGAGGAGCGAAAGCGUGGGGAGCAAACAGG